GAGAACGAUCAAAAUGAAGAGGAAUUUUGCCGUGGAAUCAUCAGCAGUAGCUGAAGGCUUUUGUGCCCACCUUGAAGAGGCUUACGGGCCAACUGGAGUGUAUUGAGUUCUUUGAUGCGACUGCGUUCUAAUGAUAUCAUUCCCAAACUCAGUCAGGCUUUGCAAAUAGAGGUAGCACUGCCAAUCCUCCCAUAACUGUGAGAGAAGUUGUUGGAUGCGGUUGCUUCUAAUAAUAUCAUUCCUGAACUUAAUGGGGCUCUGCAAAGGAAGGUUACCCUGAUGCAGAGUUCUUUGGUAAAAGCUGAAAAGAAGAAGAGAAGCUCUCUUGUGCCAAACAGCAUUUUCUGGUCAUGUUUGAUGAAGUUAUUCGAAAGUCCUUGCUCAUGAAAUUUUACGGAAAAAGGAAAUGAAGCGGAACAUCAAGAAGGUGGUGUUUGCGCCAUUUUUCCUAUUUCCUAGUUAGUAAUGCAAUUGGAAGAGAAUGUCUUCAAAGUUCUGGCAUAAUAGAAGGAUUGGUGAGGAUUGCAGCUACCUGUGCUACUGGGACCAUCUCAUGUGGACUCUAAUGCCACCUCCUCUGUGGUAUACCGGGUUUUAUACCAAUAAAUAGUCGAUAAUAGACACCAAGGAUCCAAGCAAUAACUGCCGAUGCUCUUUGCAUUAACUGCCGAUGAUCGUGGAGUACGCGAUCACAUCUGGCUCCCCGCCUUCUUCUUACAAAUUCUUCAGCAAUCGAACGGAUUUCCUGGCAUGUGGUUAUAUCUACCUUAUCAAAGUGUUAAAGCUCAGAGUUGUUGGUUCUAGUGCAAGUUUGACUAUUUAACAUCAAAACUGAGAAACCGAGAUCGGACCUCUUCGAUUGGCGGAGGUGAUUCAUCAAAAUGCUGCGAGUAAAAACAUUGGGCGAAGUUCCUUCCAAAC